GGGAAACUACUCGACUUAAUAACGCAUGAACCACUAACUCUUAAUGUGAGUUACCGAUUGAUCUCUCUGCUUUCUUUUCCAAUAUCAUGCAGUUAUUAACACCCCAUUUGAUUCAAAUGAAUUAGAAAUUAGAAAAAUAGAAUUCAUUUUAAGUGAAUGCUAGUUAGAAUUUGCUUGGAAAUGAAUUCUUGUGCUUAGUAUGAUACAACUUUAAAUGACGACUUCAAUUGAAUUCCCUAUACUUCAUGUUUGAUAUAAUUUUAUAACUGAAGUUCAUUUAUCCGUUCCUAAAAUAUCAUCAAUGACAAAAAAAUCCUGACUUCCUAAACAAUAUAUUGGAUUAAAUUUAUCCUUAUUAUAUAAUUUAAAAUUAAUUUAUUUUUAUUUUCAAAAGAGAGAGAGUGGGAAGGGAG
rnacentral:misc_RNA from 1 species